GACGAACCACACAAACGUUAUUCGGAAUUACUGGGCUUAAAGGGUGCGUAGGCUGCGCAGAAAGUUGGGUGUGAAAAUCCCUCGGCUCAACCGAGGAACUGCGCCCAAUACUACUGUGCUCGAGGGAGACAGAGGUGAGCGGAACUUAGGGUGGAGCGGUGAAAUGCGUUGAUAUCCUAAGGAACACCCGUGGCGAAAAGCGGCUCACUGGGUCUCUUACUGACGCUGAGGCACGAAAAGCUAGGGGUAGCGAACGGG
rnacentral:rRNA from 1 species